CCUGGCAGAAAAUUAUUUACAGUAUUAUAAUAAGUAGUAUUAUACAUUAUAUAAUUAGAGAUAAUUACCUAUAUAAUUAAUGCAUAUAAUAUGCCAGACACUGCAGUUGUUAUAAAUAUUAUUAUUAUAUAAUUUAAUACAAUAAAUGUAUCAUAGAGAUAUCAAUUAUAUAAUAGUAUCAUGUAAAUUAUAAUUAAAUUCAAUAGCCACAUCAGUUUAUUGUUUAAGUGACAAUUAUUAUUAAUACUAUUAUUAUUAUUACAAAUCGUAUAUUACUGGUCUAUAUAAAAUCGUUGUAUCCUUCCACUGCCAUUAGGGAAGCAGUUAUACCACAAACAAAACUUGAAUAUAUUUAAAGAUGGAAACAAAAUCAAUUAGUCACAUCUUGUUAAUUUAAUUUGAUAUAGAGAUGGUAGCAGCUGAGGAGAUAGAAGCAUGUGUAGAGUAUCAGGUCUGUCCUAAUAAAUUCUAAGCAACAAUAGAUAACUAAACAACUAAAAGACAAAUUAAUGUAUGAAUAAUAUAGGUUAAUAAUUUAAAUAUUGGUAAUCAUGAAGAUGAGCGUCAAAAAUUAAUGAUUCACCGAAAAUUAUUAUUUUUUUUUAUAAAUACAAUUAGUAAAUGUAAAUAGUGUUUUUAAAAGAUUUGCUUGUAAAAAAAAGAGAACUUUUAUAUUUAUAUGACAUCAACCAAAAGCAUUAGCGACGUUAAGGUUGAUCAGCACGCUGCACGCUGCCAUUUUGUUGCCAAUGAUGUCACAGAGGUGUUGCCAACUUAGUAUUCUGAGAUUUUCUUUUUGUUACACUUGCUUAAACCGGUGAUGCACGCUUGUUUGUAGGCAUAAAUUAUAUAAUUAACUAUAUAAACCUUUUUUUUUCUAACAAUUAU